AGAGGACCCAGCCCUUGUUUCAGCAGCUCUGAUGGCAGGUGCACGGAGACCUCAUGGCCCAACAUGGAGGUCUGGCUGCCUCAAUAAAAAUAACAACAUGAAAUCCCCAGGCAGCUGCUGGAGCAAUACUUGUCAUUGAGGAAGGCAGAAAAUCAACAUCUGAUGAGCAACUAUGUGCCAGAAGAAGUAGAGAAAAAGAAAGAGACUGAAAGCUUAUUUUGAGAAAUAAUGACAGAAAACCUACAACAGAGCCGCCAUAAAACUCUC